GAUUUGACUCAGCUGAUGAAGGUUGGGCCCUGGCGGGCGGGGCCGGAGGGGCGGGCCUGGAGCCAGGGGGCGGGACAGACGCCACGGAAACGCGCUCGCGCCUGCGCCGAACCACAACUUCUGGCGUCCCCCGCGCUCCCGGACGGUAGGAUAGUGGCGCGCAGGAAGAAGCGGCCGGCGGGGGAACGGGACGACCGUAUUCCGAGCCCACCGGGCUACGCAGCUAUUCCAAUCAAGUUCUCCGAAAAGCAGCAGGCUUCUCACUACCUCUAUGUGAGAGCACACGGCGUUCGACAAGGCACCAAGUCCAUCUGGCCUCAGAAGAGGACUCUUUUUGUCCUCAAUGUGCCCCCAUACUGCACAGAGGAGAGCCUGUCCCGCCUCCUGUCCUCCUGUGGCCUCGUCCAGUCUGUAGAGUUGCAGGAGAAGCCGGACCUGGCCGAGAGCCCAAAGGAGUCAAGGUCGAAGUUUUUUCAUCCCAAGCCGGUUCCGGGGUUCCAGGUAGCCUACGUGGUGUUCCAGAAGCCAAGUGGGGUGUCAGCGGCCUUGGCCCUGAAGGGCCCCCUGCUGGUGUCCACAGAGAGCCACCCUGUGAAGACUGGCAUUCAGAAGUGGAUCAGUGACUACGCAGACUCCAUGCCCGACCCUGAGGCCCUGAGGGUGGAAGUGGACACGUUCAUGGAGGCGUAUGACCAGAAGAUCGCUGAGGAAGAAGCUAAGGCCAAGGAGGAGGAGGGAGUCUGUGAUGAGGAGGGCUGGGUGAAGGUGACCCGCCGGGGCUGGCGGCCUGUUCUCCCCCGGACUGAAGCAGCCAGCCUGCGGGUGCUAGAGAGGGAGAGACGGAAGCGCGCCCGAAAGGAGCUGCUCAACUUCUACCCCUGGCAGCACCGAGAGAGCAAGAUGGAGCAUCUAGCGCAGCUGCGCAAGAAGUUCGAGGAGGACAAGCAGAGGAUCGAGCUGCUGCGGGCCCAGCGCAAAUUCCGACCCUACUGAGCCGCGAGAGCCGCAGUGGAUGGCUGGAGGUGCAGGGCCAGGUGGAACAUGAGGCCUGGCCUUGUUGCGGGGCUCGGGAACUCAGAUUUCCAGUAUUGAGUCUGGGAGCACGAGGUCGUCAUAGUUCCAGGCCCAGAGCUACAGCUAGGCUGUGAGCGUGUGUUUGCGCUGUAAGAGGGAGCUGAUGAUACUGGCCACGUGCUGGGGUUCCCUCAUGUGGACACAGUGAUUGCCUGGGACUUCCACAAACUGGAACCGCUGGAGAAGGGAGAGGGUGUGUGGUGAGGUGUGGCCAGAGGAGCCUAGGGAGCUCCUUAGGCCCUUGGGGUCAGGGCCCUCCCACAGCCUUCAGGCUCCCUGCAGGGCAGGAGCGGCUCCCAUGGUGAGUUUCCCACACACGCAAUGCCUUGGAGCCGGGUCAGUGCAUAGCACCCCAGGAGGUGUGUAAGCCCUGGGGACUUGGAGGCCUCCCAGCUGAGUUGUGAAGUUGCAUGGUGGGGGGAGGGCAGGGUCGAGGCCGGGGUGGCUGUGAUUGUAUUAGAGGAGGUCCCCGUGAGAAAAAAUAAUCAGAUGGGGGCGUGAGCAGCCUGCAGACUUGUGCCUGCCUUCAAGAAGCCAGAUGGAAGGGCCCUGCCUGCCUUGGCUCUGACCAGGCGACCGGCCAGCCACAGGUGCGCUUCCUCCCUUUGUGACAACACCAGGAAACCUGCAGAGGCCCCAGGGUCAGGUGUUUGUGGGUAGGUGACCGUGAAUCACCAGGUGCUCCCAGGAACCCGGGCACAGCCACCCCCACCUACAGCCAGCACACCCACUGGCGCGAUGGGUGCAGAGGGGUGAGGCAGUCAGGUGUUCUGCUGUGGUUUGGGAGCCUAUAAAAUGUGAGACUAGGUUGGGUGCGGUGGCUCCUGUCUGCAAAAGCAGCACUUCAGGAGGCCAAGUCGGGCAGAUCGCCUGAGGUCAGGAGUUUGAGACCAGCCUGGCCAACAUGGUGAAAUCCCGUCUCUUAAAAAUAUAAAAAUUAGCUGGGCAUGGUGGCAGAUGCCUGUAAUCUCAGCUACUCAGGAGGCUGAGGCACGAGAGUUUCUUGAACCCGGGAGGCGUAGGUUACAGUGAGCCGAGAUCUUGCCACUGUACUCUAGCCUAGGCAACAGAGUGAGACUCCAUCUCAAAAAAA